GAUAACUACUGGAAACGGUAGCUAAUACCGCAUAACGUCGCAAGACCAAAGAGGGGGACCUUCGGGCCUCUUGCCAUCGGAUGUGCCCAGAUGGGAUUAGCUAGUAGGUGGGGUAACGGCUCACCUAGGCGACGAUCCCUAGCUGGUCUGAGAGGAUGACCAGCCACACUGGAACUGAGACACGGUCCAGACUCCUACGGGAGGCAGCAGUGGGGAAUAUUGCACAAUGGGCGCAAGCCUGAUGCAGCCAUGCCGCGUGUAUGAAGAAGGCCUUCGGGUUGUAAAGUACUUUCAGCGGGGAGGAAGGGAGUAAAGUUAAUACCUUUGCUCAUUGACGUUACCCGCAGAAGAAGCACCGGCUAACUCCGUGCCAGCAGCCGCGGUAAUACGGAGGGUGCAAGCGUUAAUCGGAAUUACUGGGCGUAAAGCGCACGCAGGCGGUUUGUUAAGUCAGAUGUGAAAUCCCCGGGCUCAACCUGGGAACUGCAUCUGAUACUGGCAAGCUUGAGUCUCGUAGAGGGGGGUAGAAUUCCAGGUGUAGCGGUGAAAUGCGU
rnacentral:rRNA from 1 species